rnacentral:rRNA from 1 species
CCCUUAGAUGUUCUGGGCCGCACGCGCGCUACACUGACGGAUUCAACGAGCUUACAACCUUGGCCGAAAGGUCUGGGUAAUCUCCAAAAUCCGUCGUGAUGGGGAUAGAUUAUUGCAAUUAUUAAUCUUCAACGAGGAAUGCCUAGUAAGCGCAAGUCAUCAGCUUGCGUUGAUUACGUCCCUGCCCUUUGUACACACCGCCCGUCGCUCCUACCGAUUGAAUGGUCCGGUUAAGCGUUUGGACUAUGGUUUUCUGAUGGUCCGCCGUUGGAUUACCGUGGGAAGUUCGUUAAACCUUAUCAUUUAGAGGAAGGAGAAGUCGUAACA